AACCUGCCCUGUACUGUGGAAUAAUCAUUGGAAACGAUGACUAAUACCGCAUGUGGUCCUCGGAAGGCAUCUUCUGAGGAAGAAAGGAUUUAUUCGGUACAGGAUGGGCCCGCAUCUGAUUAGCUAAUUGGUGAGAUAACAGCCCACCAAGGCGACGAUCAGUAGCCGACCUGAGAGGGUGAUCGGCCACAUUGGGACUGAGACACGGCCCAA
rnacentral:rRNA from 1 species